rnacentral:rRNA from 1 species
CCUACGGGAGGCAGCAGUGGGGAAUCUUGCGCAAUGGGCGAAAGCCUGACGCAGCAACGCCGCGUGCGGGAAGAAGGCUCUCGGGUUGUAAACCGCUUUCAGCAGGAACGAAAAUGACGGUACUUGCAGAAGAAGGUGCGGCCAACUACGUGCCAGCAGCCGCGGUGACACGUAGGCACCAAGCGUUGUCCGGAUUUAUUGGGCGUAAAGAGCUCGUAGGCGGUUCGGUAAGUCAGGUGUGAAAACUUUGGGCUCAACCCAAAGCCUGCAUCUGAUACUGCUGUGACUAGAGUUCGGUAGGGGAGCGGGGAAUUCCUAGUGUAGCGGUGAAAUGCGCAGAUAUUAGGAGGAACACCGGUGGCGAAGGCGCCGCUCUGGGCCGAAACUGACGCUGAGGAGCGAAAGCGUGGGUAGCAAACAGGAUUAGAUACCCUGGUAGUCCACGCCGUAAACGUUGGGCACUAGGUGUGGGUUUCAACCAACGAAAUCCGCGCCGUCGCUAACGCAUUAAGUGCCCCGCCUGGGGAGUACGGCCGCAAGGUUAAAACUACAAAGAAUUGACGG